rnacentral:rRNA from 1 species
UACGUAGGGGGCAAGCGUUGUCCGGAUUUAUUGGGCGUAAAGCGCACGCAGGCGGUCUUUUACGUUUUGAGUGACAGGUGGGGGCUUAACUCCCACAGGCCUUGGAAAACGGGAAGACUUGAGGGCGAGAGAGGGAUGCGGAAUUCCAGGUGGAGCGGUGAAAUGCGUAGAGAUCUGGAAGAACACCAAAGGCGAAGGCAGCAUCCUGGCUCGCAGCUGACGCUCAUGUGCGAAAGCUAGGGGAGCGAACGGG